UACGUAGGGUGCAAGCGUUAAUCGGAAUUACUGGGCGUAAAGCGUGCGCAGGCGGUUGUGUAAGUCAGAUGUGAAAUCCCCGGGCUCAACCUGGGAAUUGCAUUUGAGACUGCACGGCUAGAGUGUGUCAGAGGGGGGUAGAAUUCCACGUGUAGCAGUGAAAUGCGUAGAUAUGUGGAGGAAUACCGAUGGCGAAGGCAGCCCCCUGGGCUAACACUGACGCUCAUGCACGAAAGCGUGGGGAGCAAACAGG
rnacentral:rRNA from 1 species